GACGAACGCUGGCGGCGUGCCUAAUACAUGCAAGUCGAGCGAGCUUGCCUAGAUGAAUUUGGUUCUUGCACCAGAUGACACUAGAUACAAGCGAGCGGCGGACGGGUGAGUAACACGUGGGUAACCUGCCCAAGAGACUGGGAUAACACCUGGAAACAGAUGCUAAUACCGGAUAACAACACUAGACGCAUGUCUAGAGUUUAAAAGAUGGUUCUGCUAUCGCUCUUGGAUGGACCUGCGGUGCAUUAGCUAGUUGGUAAGGCAACGGAUUACCAAGGCAAUGAUGCAUAGCCGAGUUGAGAGACUGAUCGGCCACAUUGGGACUGAGACACGGCCCAAACGCCUACGGGAGGCAGCAGUAGGGAAUCUGCCGCAAUGGACGCAAGUCUGAUGGAGCAACGCCGCGUGAGUGAAGAAGGGUUUCGGCUCGUAAAGCUCUGUUGGUAGUGAAGAAAGAGAGAGGUAGUAACUGGCCUUUAUUUGACGGUAAUUACUUAGAAAGUCACGGCUAACUACGUG
rnacentral:rRNA from 1 species